rnacentral:rRNA from 1 species
GGGUGCAAUCAUGCCGGCGUUAAUGCACCAGAUCCCAUCAGAACUCCAUAGUUAAGUGCACUUGAGCUAGAGUAGUACUGGGAUGGGUGACCUCCAGAGAAAUCCUAAUGUUUCACCCU